AGAGUUUGAUCAUGGCUCAGAUUGAACGCUGGCGGCAGGCCUAACACAUGCAAGUCGAACGGUAACAGGAAGCAGCUUGCUGCUUUGCUGACGAGUGGCGGACGGGUGAGUAAUGUCUGGGAAACUGCCUGAUGGAGGGGGAUAACUACUGGAAACGGUAGCUAAUACCGCAUAACGUCGCAAGACCAAAGAGGGGGACCUUAGGGCCUCUUGCCAUCGGAUGUGCCAGAUGGGAUUAGCUAGUAGGUGGGGUAACGGCUCACCUAGGCGACGAUCCCUAGCUGGUCUGAGAGGAUGACCAGCCACACUGGAACUGAGACACGGUCCAGACUCCUACGGGAGGCAGCAGUGGGGAAUAUUGCACAAUGGGCGCAAGCCUGAUGCAGCCAUGCCGCGUGUAUGAAGAAGGCCUUCGGGUUGUAAAGUACUUUCAGCGGGGAGGAAGGGAGUAAAGUUAAUACCUUUGCUCAUUGACGUUACCCGCAGAAGAAGCACCGGCUAACUCCGUGCCAGCAGCCGCGGUAAUACGGAGGGUGCAAGCGUUAAUCGGAAUUACUGGGCGUAAAGCGCACGCAGGCGGUUUGUUAAGUCAGAUGUGAAAUCCCCGGGCUCAACCUGGGAACUGCAUCUGAUACUGGCAAGCUUGAGUCUCGUAGAGGGGGGUAGAAUUCCAGGUGUAGCGGUGAAAUGCGUAGAGAUCUGGAGGAAUACCGGUGGCGAAGGCGGCCCCCUGGACGAAGACUGACGCUCAGGUGCGAAAGCGUGGGGAGCAAACAGGAUUAGAUACCCUGGUAGUCCACGCCGUAAACGAUGUCGACUUGGAGGUUGUGCCUUGAGGCGUGGCUUCCGGAGCUAACGCGUUAAGUCGACCGCCUGGGGAGUACGGCCGCAAGGUUAAAACUCAAAUGAAUUGACGGGGGCCCGCACAAGCGGUGGAGCAUGUGGUUUAAUUCGAUGCAACGCGAAGAACCUUACCUGGUCUUGACAUCCACGGAAGUUUUCAGAGAUGAGAAUGUGCCUUCGGGAACCGUGAGACAGGUGCUGCAUGGCUGUCGUCAGCUCGUGUUGUGAAAUGUUGGGUUAAGUCCCGCAACGAGCGCAACCCUUAUCCUUUGUUGCCAGCGGUCCGGCCGGGAACUCAAAGGAGACUGCCAGUGAUAAACUGGAGGAAGGUGGGGAUGACGUCAAGUCAUCAUGGCCCUUACGACCAGGGCUACACACGUGCUACAAUGGCGCAUACAAAGAGAAGCGACCUCGCGAGAGCAAGCGGACCUCAUAAAGUGCGUCGUAGUCCGGAUUGGAGUCUGCAACUCGACUCCAUGAAGUCGGAAUCGCUAGUAAUCGUGGAUCAGAAUGCCACGGUGAAUACGUUCCCGGGCCUUGUACACACCGCCCGUCACACCAUGGGAGUGGGUUGCAAAAGAAGUAGGUAGCUUAACCUUCGGGAGGGCGCUUACCACUUUGUGAUUCAUGACUGGGGUGAAGUCGUAACAAGGUAACCGUAGGGGAACCUGCGGUUG
rnacentral:rRNA from 1 species